GCUGGUGUAGCUCAAUGGUAGAGCACUUGCCUAGCAUGGUCAAGGGACUGGGUUCCAUCCCUAGAACUAAAAGAGAGAGAGUUUGGGCCUGCCAAGUAUGAGGCCCUGAGUUCAAUUCCCAGCACCAAAA
rnacentral:tRNA from 1 species